UUCCGAUUGAGACRGAAUUGUGGCUCAUGGACAUCUGAUGUUGUGAUAGAGCAUACUCAGCAUCUUUAGAUUUCUUCCCUGCAACCACAGACUGACUGACAGCAAGGGCUUUUUUAAAUAUUACUGGUCAUCUCACAAGACCAUCCCUGAAGGAUCGCCCCUUUUUCCUGUAGCUCCUGGGAUGCAGCACUGAGGUGGACAGGACUACCUACUCAUAAGGCUG